CUCGCGCUCUUUUAGCGAGGCGUUCAUGAACACUGGGAACACUGCAGCCACCGGCGGCGCGUCCGCCACGCGAAGUAGUCCGCCAAUUCACCAGGUCUAGUGGUAACGAUCGAUCAUUUUCUUCGAUGAUUUGACCAAUUGAUACGUUAUUAGUUAUUGGUAUAUUUCUAUGUGCAGCCCAUCUCAUUUGUACCUACAUUAACUCCUUUAAUUAUUUUGAAUUAAACGUGGUGCUUGUGUCUAUCAGUCAUCAAACACUACAAUACAUGUUUGCCAGUUUAUUAUACCAAUGAUGUGCUACUGUGUUUUUAUUUGUAUGUUUAAUCUUUCCAGGAACUGUGGAUGAAAUAUGUAUUUACCAAGUUUUGUGCAAGAAUCUUGUAUGUAGUACAAUGCCCUGAGCGCAGACGCCUGCAGGGCUCGGCCGAAGGAGAACGUCAGGACCCAGGGUUUGGCCAGAGGGCAAUUGUUGAGGGCAUUGAGGUGGACUGAGGCCUCCUCUUCGCUCUGACCGCCUGACAGAAAAGCCACUCCUACAGGGGACAGAUAAUAUGCUGUUACUUCAUUGUCUUUUGUUUCUGCAGAUUUCAUUUCUUUGUAAAAAUCCUCUCUACACGCGGUGUUUUGGGUUUUACCUGUGACCGCAGGGGGAACAGUGCGACGCAAGGCGGUGAUUGUUGCCAUAGCAACCUCCUCUGGGCUGUACCUGGUGGGACAGCUGUGUCCAGGCGUCACCAUGUUGGGUUUGAGGAGAGUGCCCUCCAGGUACACAUGGUGGUCCGACAUGGCUUUGUACACUGCGGCCAGGACCUGCGAUCCACGGCAGAAUUAUUUCUCACUUCUCACUCUUGAAACAACAUUGCCACACACCCGUGCACAUGUACUAUGUAUGACAAAAAAAUAAACCCACCUUCUCAGUGAUGUA